GGGGCUAAAUGAUGAUCUUGAAAAGAGCCCUCACUCGUGAGGCUUCGCCAUGUGCCAGUCACUAUGCUGAGCACCUUGCAGGAGCUUCAGGUCCAGGCCUUCAGGGUCAGCAGGGCAAGCCUGAGCCCUGUGGUUCAGAGUUAAAACUUGGUUCAAGUGACACUGAGCCUGGGACAAAGUGUGGUUGAUAGCUCUUGUUUUCCCUGGCCCUUCAGGUUGCCUUUGGGAAACCACCCAACCCUCACUCCCGUCCACCCACGUGCAUUGCAUGCAGCUAAUUCUACCCCAGGCCCUGAGUCCAAGUAUGAUCACGUGAUCCAGACCUGGCCAAUCAGCCUAUUCUGUCCCCCAGGCCACAGUGAUUGGUUUAGGGAUGAUCAUGUGACCUACAGAAAGCUUCAGGAUAGCCGCUUCUUUGGCUAGGGCAGGCUGAUGGUCAGGCAGGGAAGAAGCCCACAGACAGAUGCAAGUGCUGGUUAAUGUUCUGAUUCUUGUGUUGGAUGACCAGGUCUUGGGUGUUUAUUUAUAUAAAUAAAAAAAGGAGAACCGUUUAUGAACCUAUGGCAAGAGGAUGGCAUGAAUGAGGGAUCAUGAUUAAUAGAGUUCUGUGACCCAAGGUCCAAUACAGAGACAAAGGGGGAGAAAACAAACAAAAAACACCUCUGGAACUUGUUGGAGCUCUUGGAAAAGAAAAGCUGUGAGUGGAUGUUCAAGAGGGUAACCUAGGGCCUCAUGCAUUGGGGCAUUCAGUAGGUUCGUAUUGAAUCGAAAACAACGAAUGAAGCCUGCAGUGCAGAGAAAACACUGUG
rnacentral:lncRNA from 1 species